CAUAAUACCGUGUCCGCCGGCGCCGUUAAGGCAUUUAAGGGAACACAGCACUCUGUGGCCGCCCCCGCGACUGUGAGCAGCGAGACCGCAUCCACCCGAGCCACUGGUAUUACCGGGAAGGCCGAUGCGGUCCACGACCUGCGAGCCAGGAGACCUGCCGGCCGAAUGUUCGCGCG
rnacentral:ncRNA from 1 species